rnacentral:rRNA from 1 species
AGCGAACGCUGGCGGCAGGCCUAACACAUGCAAGUCGAACGAACUCUUCGGAGUUAGUGGCGGACGGGUGAGUAACACGUGGGAACGUGCCUUUUGGCUCGGAAUAACUCAGGGAAACUUGUGCUAAUACCGAAUGUGCCCUUCGGGGGAAAGAUUUAUCGCCAUUAGAGCGGCCCGCGUCUGAUUAGCUAGUUGGGGAGGUAACGGCUCACCAAGGCGACGAUCAGUAGCUGGUCUGAGAGGAUGACCCGCCACACUGGGACUGAGACACGGCCCAGACUCCUACGGGAGGCAGCAGUGGGGAAUCUUGCGCAAUGGGCGAAAGCCUGACGCAGCCAUGCCGCGUGAAUGAUGAAGGUCUUAGGAUUGUAAAAUUCUUUCACCGGGGACGAUAAUGACGGUACCCGGAGAAGAAGCCCCGGCUAACUUCGUG